AACACGUGGGUAAUCCAUCCCUCGGUGGGGGACAACCACUGGAAACGGUGGCUAAUACCGCAUCCGAUCUCGCGGUCUUCGGGCUGCGAGAAGAAAGACUUCGGUCGCCGAAGGUCGAGCCCGCGUCCCAUCAUGCUUGUUGGUGAGGUAAUGGCUCACCAAGGCUUAGACGGGUAGCUGGUCUGAGAGGAUGAUCAGCCACACUGGGACUGAGACACGGCCCAG
rnacentral:rRNA from 1 species